GCACUGCUGAGGAGUCCCACACUAGGACGAAACAGCCGUCCAAUGC
rfam:Schistosoma mansoni, Puerto Rico, WGS project CABG01000000 data, contig: 0044